AUUGAACGCUGGCGGCAGGCCUAACACAUGCAAGUCGAGCGAGCGGCGGACGGGUGAGUAAUGUAUGGGGAUCUGCCCGAUAGAGGGGGAUAACUACUGGAAACGGUAGCUAAUUCCGCAUACUAUCGGAUGAACCCAUAUGGGAUUAGCUAGUAGGUGAGGUAAUGGCUCACCUAGGCGACGAUCCCUAGCUGGUCUGAGAGGAUGAACAGCCACACCAGAACGGAGACACGGUCCAGACCCCUACGGGAGGCAGCAGUGGGGAAUAUUGCACAAUGGGCGCAAGCCUGAUGUAGCCAUGCCGCGUGUAUGAAGAAGGCCUUCGGGUUGUAAAGUACUUUCAGCGGGGAGGCGUUACCCGCAGAAGAAGCACCGGCUAACUCCGUGCCAGCCGCCGCGGUAAUUC
rnacentral:rRNA from 1 species